CCUACGGGUGGCAGCAGUGGGGAAUAUUGCGCAAUGGGCGAAAGCCUGACGCAGCGACGCCGCGUGAGGGAUGAAGGUCCUCGGAUCUUUAACCUCCGUUUGCAGGGAAGAACGGUCACUGUGCUAUUCAGCAGUGAAUUGACGGUACCUGCAAAGGAAGCACCGGCUAACUCCGUGCCAGCAGCCGCGGUAAUACGGAGGGUGCGGGCGUUAAUCGGAUUUACUGGGCGUAAAGCGCUCGUAGGCGGUAUGUCAAGUCAAGGGUGAAAUCCCCGCGCUCAACGUGGGAACUGCCUUUGAAACUGGCGAGCUGGAGUGUGUGGGAGGAUAGUGGAAUUCGAGGUGGAGGGGUGAAAUCCGUAGAUAUCUGGAAGAACAUCAGUGGCGAAGGCGACUAUCUGGCACAUAACUGACGCUGAGGAGCGAAAGCGUGGGUAGCGAACAGGAUUAGAUACCCUAGUAGUC
rnacentral:rRNA from 1 species